rnacentral:misc_RNA from 1 species
GAACGCACCUUGCGCUCCUUGGUAUUCCGAGGAGCAUGCCUGUUCGAGUGUCAUUUAAUUCUCAACCAUCCCUCGAUUCGUUUCGAGGUUUGGCUUGGACUUUGGGGGCUGCCGGCGACCCUCGGGUCUUCGGCUCUCCUUAAAAGCAUUAGCGAUGGCGGCGCGAUCUGACCAUGCAUGAACGGCCUUCGACGUGAUAAUGAUCGUCGUGGCUGGAGUGCUAGCGGGCGUCGUGAAGUCAGCGCUUCUAGAUCGUCGUCGAAAGACGAAACUUUGAAACUUGACCUCAAAUCAGGUAGGACCACCCGCUGAACUUA